UGCUGCCUGUCGUUGCCGUCUCCAAGCUGUGCUGGCGGUCAUCUUGCUCCCCUUGGUUGCCAAGGUUCCCCGUCGAGUCUUUCCUCCUUGUUUCCUGGCCUCUCCUCUGCAAAAAAUCCAUGGUGGUGGCUAGGCUGCAGUCCAGCUACACACUGAACAAACCCAUGUUGAUUAAUCCGGAUUUUGUCAACCAGAUCAAGACUGAACUGGCCGCCUGGCAAAUCGAGCUGGAAAGAGCGGACCACUCAAACAUGGAGGCAUUAAUCAAGGACCAGGACAAGGCAAGCGCCUUCCUCAAGAAGCACG
rnacentral:lncRNA from 1 species